GAUGAACGCUGGCGGCGUGCCUAAUACAUGCAAGUCGAACGAGGUGCUUUUGUAGCAAUACGAGAGUAUCCUAGUGGCGAACGGGUGAGUAACGCGUUGGUGACCUGCCCCAAAGUGCGGGAUAACAGUCCGAAAGGAUUGCUAAUACCGCAUGUGGUUCUUGGAUUUAGAAACCGAGCUCUAAAGGAGCAAUCCGCUUUGGGAGGGACCUGCGUCCCAUCAGCUAGUUGGUGAGGUAACGGCCCACCAAGGCUACGACGGGUAGGGGACCUGAGAGGGUGGCCCCCACAAUGGAACUGAAACACGGUCCAUACACCUACGGGAGGUUUUUCG
rnacentral:rRNA from 1 species